rnacentral:lncRNA from 10 species
AAUCUUUAGUGUUGUGAGCCCUUAAAAGGGACAGAAAUUUUGCACUCGGGGAGCUCAGAUUUUAAGACAGUAGCUUGCUGAUGCUCCCAGCUGAAUAAAGCCCUUCCUUCUACAACUCGGUGUCUGAGGGGUUUUGUCUGCAGCUCGUCCUGCUACAAUGGUGGUUCCUUUAUAGGAUAUUCAUGAUUCCCUACCUUGAAUCAAUGCCGCCAUCUUCCUUUUAACUCAGGGACUAUGAGAUACACAGGUCUUCAAUGCCAGUCACCUCAUGGACUCACCACCUAGUUUAUCAAGGAGAAGUUGAUGCUGGGAGCAACUACAAAAAUGAAGCUACUCUGAUUUAGGUGGCACAGAAAAGCAGGCGAGGGUUUCUCCCUCCUGUCUCAUUUGAUCAUUUUUCAUGCUUUACCUGUGCUUCUAGGGGCCAAUCUAUCUUUUUUUUUUUUUUUCUGCCUUCUCUGCUUUAAAUGUUCCCAGUUCUGUCUGGAACUUGUCUUUGAACAAAGAAAGAUUUACUUCUUUCUUGAUUCUUUUAUUCCCCUCAUUUUUGUUUAUUCUCUUCCUGGCUCUUAGAGCUUUUCUCUUAACAUUGUGACUGGUGUAUCUAUUUUCUUCAUCUCUCACCUCCUGCCCAUGAACUUAUUUAUGAGGAAAUGUGUAGGAUAAUAGAGCAACAAUUUGGCUUAAAGGGCUCUAGCUGUGUGACCCUAGGCACAUCAGUCAACUCCUUAUAAACAACAGGUUUCUUUUCUCUAAAAUGAGGAUGUUAGAUUCUAUUAUCUCAGUAGUUCAUCUCAGCACUAAUUUUCUAUGAUUCCUUUUCUCACAGUGCUGUCUACCUUGCAAGCCCAGUACAUGUAUAUUAGUUCCCUAUUGCUGCUGUAACAAAUUGCCACCAGCUUAAUGGUUUAAAGCAAGGCAAAUUUGUUAUUUUAUAUUUCUGUAGAUCAGACAUCUGGCACGGUGCCCUUGUGCUAAAAUUAGAGUGCUGACAAGCCUAUGGUUCUUUCUGGAGCCUUCAGGGAAGAAUUGGUUACCUUGCGUUUUCCAGCUUUUGAGAGCACCUGCAUCCCUUGGGUCAUGCCCUUUUCCUCCAUUUUCAAAGUCCAAAACAGGAUGUCAAGUCCUUCUUUCUUUGCAUCUCUUUGAACAACUGUAGCCAAAAAGAUUCUCCAUUCUAAGGACUCCUGUGAUUUGAUUGGGAGCCUCUACAUCAUUCAGGAGAAUCCUCUGACCUCAAGUUCUGUAACCUGAAUCACAUCAUAAGGUAAUCUAUUCAUAGGUUCUGGGGAUUCGCGUGUGGGAAUCUUGGCAGGCAAUGAUUUUCUGCAUUCCAUAAUGAUACGGAAGAGCUAGGCUCCUGGCUAAACCCCACCUUUAAGCCUCGGAUGGUGACCAUAAGUGAAAACAUCUGACCCCAUUUUUCUGCCCAAAUGUUGCCUUUUUGGCCCAGUCUGCCCCUAUUCUGUGCCCACAACAGACUUCAGCUGGCAGAGCAACACAAGCAGCUGAAUAUCAAGAGGUGAAGAAGCAACUGGGCAUCUGAGACUAUGGAUAGAUGCGACUUAACUUCAGACGGCACAACUUUGGAGAGGAGCCCAGAUGGAGACGACCAGGCUUCAAGGAAAGAUCACCUUCUUCUUGCACCCCCCUUUCAGCUCCCCUUCUGCUGAGAGCUACUUCCACUGCCUAAUAAAAUCCUCUGCAUCAUCACCUUUCAAACCAUUCGUGCGACCUGAUUCUUCCUGGAUGCCGAACAAGAACCUGGGAACCAAGAGGGCAGAGUAUUAGGCUGUCACCCUGACUCUCCACUAAGCUGGUUAACACUUAGCUGCCAUGGACAGCAACUCCUAAAAGAGCAUUAAUUUUAUCACACCCCUAGACGCUGCCAGGGGGCUGGAGCCCAAAAGCAUUUGCCCCAGCUCCAACACCCACUUGCCUGUGUGCUCCCUCCCGUGAGGGGUUGAGCCCAGUGGGUUUGAGUGAGUGAAGUUCAUCCCUGUUGGCAGCAAAGUGGCAGGCUGAACCCAGAGCCAGUGCACUCUAGUUCCCAUCUGCAAAAGGGUCAAAGGAACUCUCCUGUCUCAACAACAUAUUACUGACUAACACAAGCAUCUUAUGCCUGGUAGCAUCAAAUUAAGCAAAGGGUAGCCCGAAUGCCAUGUCUUCACAUUUUAUUCCACUUGGAUCUCCUGUAGAAUGGCUGUUUACCAUGGAAGGGCUGAUUCCAAUUCUCACGUUAAUCACUUACAAGGCAGAAACCAGCUAGUCUAGACUGGUAAAGGGCUUUCCAGUUCAUUCAUCAGCCUCCUCUGAUUCUCUCAGGGCUCAUUCAGAUGUUCCCAAUCCUUUCACAAGAUUACAAUUCAACACAUAUGGAAGCACAAAAAAAAAUGCUGAUUUCCCCACAUAAAUAAUAAUUAAUUACUAAUGAAGAUAAUGGUGACAGACUAUGGGACUUAAGAAAAAACCUACGAGGAUGUAUCACAAGACAAAUCCUUCUAAAAAUUAAACUAUUUGCAGACAAUCAGAAAGUCAAAACUAACAAUCUCUUAAACAUUUCUCAGAUAUGGCUGUAAUAACAUAGCAUUCCUAUAAAAAUGAACUUUUAGGUUAAAUAUAUCUUUACACAUACAUGCACUUGCACCCACAUGUACACACAAUCUAUUUUUGGAUCUACUGAAUAAAGCAUCAUUAUUUAAAGUGAAGCAAUAAAAGUUUCAACGUCUUUUUUUCUAAGUAUUAGCCUUGAAGUUAUUCACCCUAACCAAA